AGAGAGAGAGACGUGAGAGAGGAGGGAAUGUGAGGAGAAGGCGCACCUGCGUACACACGUGCAGUGGUGGCGGCGGUUCGUGGAGCGCUCGCGUGGUGCUCUAGGCCGAGCGAACGCUAGGGUUGCCUCAAGCGUGUCCUGGCUGGUUGGGCCGGCUGAUGCGCUAGCCUAGCGAGCAGUUUUUUUAAAUUUGUUUUUUUCUUUUACAAAAAAAUGACAAAA
rnacentral:lncRNA from 1 species